rnacentral:lncRNA from 1 species
GAGUGGUCCUUGUGCCCAGUUGAAGCCGUGAGUAAAACAAAGUCUGACAUAGCCUUGAGCAAGAAAGAACUCUACCUCCAGACAACUUCGGGGGCAGGUGCAAAGUUGGUGCUGCCCUGGGUCUCUAGCUGCCAGCUUCCCCGACAGGCUUCGGGUGCCCAUAGCCCCACAAUCAAGGAAUCCAGUUUCUAAAAUUAACCUACCUCUCUCUUUUCCCCUUCCUCCUCCCACUCUUCCUCGCUCUUCCUCCCGCUAGUUCUGUGGCCCUGCAGACUCCUGACUGAACUAACACAGUUGGGGAGAAUAAGCCGUAAAAAGGGGAGCUUUUCUGUCCUUUCACUUUGCACUGAUGCCCCAUCCAUCCUCCCUUUCUGCUUGCCAUGGUAAAUGGUGUCCGACGUAACACAGAUGCACUGUGCACUGGAGAGGCAGAGCAUCCUGCCUUCCACAGCCGUGCACACCAGUCCCUGUGCACAAGUGGCCACCCACCCAGCGAAUCGACGUGGUGUGCUUAUCAAAAUCUGUGUGUCUGUGGGCCAGAGCCAAAUCCAGCAGAGCCCCAUCCUGAAUGCCCAGCGGUGCCCACAGCCAGGAGGAGCAUUCGAUGUGUGAUGACUCAUCUCGUGCAUCAGACGCUCUCUAAAGUUCCCACAGAUUAUACCAUGGCUUAGUGAGUGCGAUUCUAAGACAGUUCCAAAAGACUUUUCAAUCCGUGGGAGUUUCAAAGUGGAUUCUCAGACAAACAUGGGGAGGACUGAGGCAGGCUUGGACACGCACAGAAUCAGACAACGAUGGGCUGAGGAAGUGGCUCAGCGGUUAAGAGCACUGUCUGCUCUUCCAAAGGUCCGGAGUUCAAAUCCCUGCAACCACAUGGUGGCUCACAACCAACUGUAAUGAGAUCUGGCGCCCUCUUCUGGAGUGUCUGAAGACAGAUACAGUGUACUUACAUAUAGUAAAUAAAUAAAUCUUAAAAAAAAAAAAAA